GAUGAACGCUGGCGGCGUGCCUAAUACAUGCAAGUCGAGCGAACGGACGAGAAGCUUGCUUCUCUGAUGUUAGCGGCGGACGGGUGAGUAACACGUGGAUAACCUACCUAUAAGACUGGGAUAACUUCGGGAAACCGGAGCUAAUACCGGAUGAUAUUUUGAACCGCAUGGUUCAAAAGUGAAAGACGGUCUUGCUGUCACUUAUAGAUGGAUCCGCGCUGCAUUAGCUAGUUGGUAAGGCAACGGCUUACCAAGGCAACGAUGCAUAGCCGACCUGAGAGGGUGAUCGGCCACACUGGAACUGAGACACGGUCCAGACUCCUACGGGAGGCAGCAGUAGGGAAUCUUCCGCAAUGGGCGAAAGCCUGACGGAGCAACGCCGCGUGAGUGAUGAAGGUCUUCGGAUCGUAAAACUCUGUUAUUAGGGAAGAACAUAUGUGUAAGUAACUGUGCACAUCUUGACGGUACCUAAUCAGAAAGCCACGGCUAACUACGUGCCAGCAGCCGCGGUAAUACGUAGGUGGCAAGCGUUAUCCGGAAUUAUUGGGCGUAAAGCGCGCGUAGGCGGUUUUUUAAGUCUGAUGUGAAAGCCCACGGCUCAACCGUGGAGGGUCAUUGGAAACUGGAAAACUUGAGUGCAGAAGAGGAAAGUGGAAUUCCAUGUGUAGCGGUGAAAUGCGCAGAGAUAUGGAGGAACACCAGUGGCGAAGGCGACUUCUGGUCUGUAACUGACGCUGAUGUGCGAAAGCGUGGGGAUCAAACAGGAUUAGAUACCCUGGUAGUCCACGCCGUAAACGAUGAGUGCUAAGUGUUAGGGGGUUUCCGCCCCUUAGUGCUGCAGCUAACGCAUUAAGCACUCCGCCUGGGGAGUACGACCGCAAGGUUGAAACUCAAAGGAAUUGACGGGGACCCGCACAAGCGGUGGAGCAUGUGGUUUAAUUCGAAGCAACGUGAAGAACCUUACCAAAUCUUGACAUCCUUUGACAACUCUAGAGAUAGAGCCUUCCCCUUCGGGGGACAAAGUGACAGGUGGUGCAUGGUUGUCGUCAGCUCGUGUCGUGAGAUGUUGGGUUAAGUCCCGCAACGAGCGCAACCCUUAAGCUUAGUUGCCAUCAUUAAGUUGGGCACUCUAAGUUGACUGCCGGUGACAAACCGGAGGAAGGUGGGGAUGACGUCAAAUCAUCAUGCCCCUUAUGAUUUGGGCUACACACGUGCUACAAUGGACAAUACAAAGGGCAGCGAAACCGCGAGGUCAAGCAAAUCCCAUAAAGUUGUUCUCAGUUCGGAUUGUAGUCUGCAACUCGACUACAUGAAGCUGGAAUCGCUAGUAAUCGUAGAUCAGCAUGCUACGGUGAAUACGUUCCCGGGUCU
rnacentral:rRNA from 1 species